rnacentral:piRNA from 1 species
UUAAUUGCAACUUUGGUGUCA